AUUGAACGCUGGCGGCAUGCCUUACACAUGCAAGUCGAACGGCAGCACGGGAGCAAUCCUGGUGGCGAGUGGCGAACGGGUGAGUAAAGUAUCGGAACGUGCCCAGUCGUGGGGGAUAACGUAGCGAAAGUUACGCUAAUACCGCAUACGAUCUUUGGAUGAAAGCGGGGGAUCGCAAGACCUCGCGCGAUUGGAGCGGCCGAUAUCAGUAUUAGGUAGUUGGUGGGGUAAAGGCUCACCAAGCCGACGAUCUGUAGCUGGUCUGAGAGGACGACCAACCACACUGGGCCUGGGGCCAGGCCCAGACUGCUACCGGAGGCAGCAGUGUGGAAUUUUGGACAUUGGGCGAGAGCCUGAUCCAGCCAUGCCGCGUGCAGGAUGAAGUCCUUCGGGUUGUAAACUGCUUUUGUACGGAACGAAAAGGUUUGGCCUAAUAAGCUGAGCUCAUGACGGUACCGUAAGAAUAAGCACCGGCUAACUACGUGCCAGCCGCCGCCGUAA
rnacentral:rRNA from 1 species